AACGAACGCUGGCGGCAUGCCUAACACAUGCAAGUCGAACGGGAUCUUCGGGUCUAGUGGCGCACGGGUGCGUAACGCGUGGGAAUCUGCCCUUUGGUUCGCAAUAACAGUUGGAAACGACUGCUAAUACCGGAUGAUGACGAAAGUCCAAAGAUUUAUCGCCAGAGGAUGAGCCCGCGUAGGAUUAGCUAGUUGGUGUGGUAAAGGCGCACCAAGGCGACGAUCCUUAGCUGGUCUGAGAGGAUGAUCAGCCACACUGGGACUGAGACACGGCCCAGACUCCGACGGGAGGCAGCAGUGGGGAAUAUUGGACAAUGGGCGAAAGCCUGAUCCAGAAAUGCCGCGUGAGUGAUGAAGGCCUUAGGGUUGUAAAGCUCUUUUACCCGGGAUGAUAAUGACAGUACCGGGAGAAUAAGCUCCGGCUAACUCCGUGCCAGCCGCCGCCGUAA
rnacentral:rRNA from 1 species